UGAGGAAUAUUGGUCAAUGGGGGCAACCCUGAACCAGCCAAGUCGCGUGAAGGAUGAAGGUCUUAUGGAUUGUAAACUUCUUUUAUACAGGAAUAAAUUGGGGGACGUGUCCCCUUUUGCAUGUACUGUAUGAAUAAGGAUCGGCUAACUACGUGCCAGCAGCCGCGGUAAUACGUAGGGGGCAAGCGUUGUCCGGAUUUACUGGGUGUAAAGGGUGCUCAGGCGGAUUUGUAAGCCAGAGGUGAAAUCUUACAGCUUAACUGUGAAACUGCCUUUGAUACUGCAAGCCUAGAGUAUGGAAGAGAGUGAUGGAAUAUCUGGUGUAGCAGUGAAAUGCGUAGAUAUCAGAUAGAACACCAAUGGCGAAGGCAGUCACUUGGUCCAUUACUGACGCUAAAGCACGAAAGCGUGGGUAGCAAACA
rnacentral:rRNA from 1 species